AUUAGAGUUUGAUCCUGGCUCAGAUUGAACGCUGGCGGCAUGCCUUACACAUGCAAGUCGAACGGUAACAGGUCUUCGGAUGCUGACGAGUGGCGAACGGGUGAGUAAUACAUCGGAACGUGCCCGAUCGUGGGGGAUAACGGAGCGAAAGCUUUGCUAAUACCGCAUACGAUCUACGGAUGAAAGCAGGGGACCGCAAGGCCUUGCGCGGACGGAGCGGCCGAUGGCAGAUUAGGUAGUUGGUGGGAUAAAAGCUUACCAAGCCGACGAUCUGUAGCUGGUCUGAGAGGACGACCAGCCACACUGGGACUGAGACACGGCCCAGACUCCUACGGGAGGCAGCAGUGGGGAAUUUUGGACAAUGGGCGCAAGCCUGAUCCAGCCAUGCCGCGUGCAGGAUGAAGGCCUUCGGGUUGUAAACUGCUUUUGUACGGAACGAAAAGACUCUUUCUAAUAAAGAGGGUCCAUGACGGUACCGUAAGAAUAAGCACCGGCUAACUACGUGCCAGCAGCCGCGGUAAUACGUAGGGUGCAAGCGUUAAUCGGAAUUACUGGGCGUAAAGCGUGCGCAGGCGGUUAUGUAAGACAGAUGUGAAAUCCCCGGGCUCAACCUGGGAACUGCAUUUGUGACUGCAUAGCUAGAGUACGGCA
rnacentral:rRNA from 1 species